AGUGAACGCUGGCGGUAGGCCUAACACAUGCAAGUCGAACGGCAGCACAGUAAGAGCUUGCUCUUACGGGUGGCGAGUGGCGGACGGGUGAGGAAUACAUCGGAAUCUACUUUUUCGUGGGGGAUAACGUAGGGAAACUUACGCUAAUACCGCAUACGACCUACGGGUGAAAGCAGGGGAUCUUCGGACCUUGCGCGAUUGAAUGAGCCGAUGUGGGAUUAGCUAGUUGGCGGGGUAAAGGCCCACCAAGGCGACGAUCCGUAGCUGGUCUGAGUGGAUGGUCAGCCACACUGGAACGGAGACACGGUCCAGACUCCUACGGGAGGCAGCAGUGGGGAAUAUUGGACAAUGGGCGCAAGCCUGAUCCAGCCAUACCGCGUGGGUGAAGAAGGCCUUCGGGUUGUAAAGCCCUUUUGUUGGGAAAGAAAAGCAGCAGGUUAAUACCCCGCUGUUCUGACGGUACCCAAAGAAUAAGCACCGGCUAACUUCGUG
rnacentral:rRNA from 1 species